ACAGUUGCCAACUUUCACAGUAAACCAAAAAUCAAACAAAUCCCAUUUCAAAACAAGGCCAAAAUAAGCCAAUCCCUAAGAUCCCCA